rnacentral:misc_RNA from 1 species
CAGCCACUCAAUGCCAUGGUCAGCUCAAACUCAUCACGCAACAUCUGAAGCACUUUUCUCACACCGGCCUCGCCCUCCGCUGCCAAAGAGAACACCACUGGCCUCCCAAUAAAUAUGCCAGAUGCUCCAAGUGCCAAUGCUUUGAAAACAUCUGUUCCACGUCGAACACCGCCAUCCAGGAAAACAGGAAUUUCACCUCUAGCAGCUUUAACAACCUCUUCCAAAGCCACAAUGGUUGCAGGAACAUAGUCAAGUUGGCGAGCUCCAUGAUUUGAAACAAUUAUUCCAGCAGCUCCACUUUGAAUGGCAAUCCUUGUGUCCUCAGCAGUAAGCACACCCUUCACUAGAAUUGGCAACUUGGUGAUGGUCUGCAGCCACUUCACAUCCUGCCAACUGAGAGUACGGUCGAUCUGCCCCGCAACAUAUGAGGCCAGUCCAGAGUCGUCUGCCUUGUCCAUUUUACCAAGAUCCAAUCCCUCAAAGUUCUUCAAUGUCAAAAAUGGUGGCAAAGUAAAUCUGUUCUUGAUGUCAGCUUCUCUUCGGCCAAGUCUUGGAGUAUCCACAGUGAGGGCAAUUGCCUUGAAUCCAGCCCUCUCAGCUCUUCUGACAAGCUGAGCAACCACAUUCCUGUCUUUGUACACAUAAAGCUGGAAAAAGCGAAUGCCAGGCCCUGUUGAAGCAACCUCCUCCACACUGGAAGUAGCCCAUGAAGAUAGUGUCAUAAUUGUUCCAGCUGCUGAAGCUGCCCUCGCUGUUGCAUACUCUCCUGCAUUGGAAUAUAACAUCCAGUUACAAGCGAUUUUUUUCCCUCUCCAAUAUCAGAAGUUAGUUGCAUAACAGUAGAAAAAAGGAAGGGAAUAGAGCUCAAAGAAUUUGUUUUCAACAGAACAAAAAUACAUUAGCUCCAUUUUCCUUCGAUAUUUUCACAAUUGUGACCCAGGCCAGAUAACUUCCUAAUUAUUAACUUGUAUAAGGAUUAAGGAAAGGAAUCUUGUUCAAGGAUCAGCUGCUUGGUAAUUGAAAAUUUUGACAAAAAAAGGGGGAAACAAAAGAGAAAUGAUGAAUAGAGGUGAUAAGAACUGUCCUCUAAAGAAACUUUCCUCAAAGAAAUAGUAACAAUGCAAAUGCAAGCUUCAGAAAGAAGCUCUUCCGCAGCAUGUGACAUAGACUUUGUGAUCUCUCCUGCAAAAGAGUACUAAUCUCUCUAUGCAUAAACUACUGAAUUUUAUAUAAGCAUAUUUGAUGCCUUAUACUAGUGUCAGGAUCACACAGAAAGAAGUGUAGUGGGUUUUACUGCUCCAUGUGGCAAUUAGGACUGUACUUUUUCAGGCAUAUCCUAUGGUCAUUGAACUUUCCAGGUCAUGCUAACAUUCAUUGAUGUCUGCAUAUGCCUGCAACUACAAGUAUCUGUGUAGACACACAAGUGCAAGCAUAUAAAGAAAUAAGUUCAUAUGUAGGCAUUUAUACAUAUCUUUAUUUGCUCGACCUGCAAAAAUUCAAUUAUUUUCAUGUAAAGAAGACAGAGACAAUUACCUUCGGGGUGAGCCAUUUUCUGCAUGGCUGUUGGAGCAAUCAUGAUAGGCAUUGAAACUUUGAAGCCCAAGACGCUUGUAGUCAUGUCAAUCUUGCUCACAUCAAUAAGAAUGCGCGGUCGAAACAAAAUUCUAGAGAAUGCAUUGCGAUUCUCCUUGAGGGUCCACUGGUCUUCUGCACCUGAUGCAUAAUAGUCAAAAACCAUCUUUGGCAAUUUCUGCCUAGCAAUUUCCUCAUAUUCCAUAACAUUGGUUAUCUCCUCCAUCUUUUCAAAUUAAUUAUUUGUGCCUUACCACAAUAUUCUGAAAAGGUUCCACACGAGGUUAUCACUCAUUAGAAUAGUUUUAAUUUCACACUUUAUAGAUUUCUCAAAAUAAUCAACACAUAACAUAUAAUAAAGGCACCUCAAAGAGUAUUUGUGAAUAAUGAACUCUCAAGAGUAUUGCAAAAUGAAAAGAAAAACAUAAUAGUAACCUUUGAGAGCAGAAGACUAAAGGAAUCAUCCAUGAAGAAAGUUAAGAAAAAGAAUAGUAGGAAUACAGUUGGCUUCCUACAAGAAGAUAGAACAUCUCUAAAGCAAAAUUUGUUUGUGUCAUUGCAGCAACACAAAGGACUGCGAACAUCCAGAACUCAGAGUCCCCUGUAAUUGCGCACUACUUUUGGAGGAGGGAAAGGCAGCAAAUGAAAUAUUCAAGAAUCCUCCAUCAAGGAGAAAAAUUCUCCUACUUGUCCUCUUUCUUGAUUGAAAGGAGGCUUCAUAGAUUAUUUUCAAUUAAAAAUCUACUACAAGAAUUCUAUUCAAAAAAUAAGAGCAGCCUGGUUGAGCUCGUGGCUUCACGGAUUAUACCUCAUGAACAUAAAAGCUUAUUAAUUAUGUUAAACUUUAUCAUACACAGACAAAAGUCACAAUUAUAUGCAAUUAAAUCCUACAAUCGAAACAGCAGCAAAAUAAAACAAAACCAGAAACCAAAAAUCAUAGAGUCUCCAUGGAUUUCCCUUUCCAGAAACCAUCAAUAGAUAACAAGCAAUAACAUGCGACUGAAACAAUCACAAGAAGAAUGAAGAUUACAAAACCCAAACUAUCAGACACCCAGAUGUUAGUAAAAGCCCACGAAUGAAACUACACAGCAUAAGGUGAAAAUCCCAGGAGGCGACAGUGAAGUGAGAAUAUAUGUAAAAAGAAUAAGAGAAGCGACUCCA